rnacentral:rRNA from 1 species
UACGUAGGGUGCAAGCGUUAAUCGGAAUUACUGGGCGUAAAGCGUGCGCAGGCGGUUAUGCAAGACAGAUGGGAAAUCCCGGGGCUCAACUCCGGAACUGCAUUUGAUACUGCCUUGCUAGAGUACUGGAGAGGAGAUUGGAAUUUACGGUGUAGCAGUGAAAUGCGUAGAUAUCGUAAGGAAGACCAGUGGCGAAGGCGAAUCUCUGGACAGUUACUGACGCUGAGGCACGAAGGCCAGGGGAGCAAACGGG